AUGCACUUUGGCUGCACAUAUACUAAAAUUGGAACGAUACAGAGAAAAGAUUAGCAUGGCCCUGCUCAAUGCAGGAUCAGCCUAAAGCAUCCCUGACAAGUUUUU